UAGUGCUAGAUAUUAAAAGAAAAGCCCACCUGUUAUGCUUAUCUCCAAUUAACAAUUCCUCGUUCGGCCUCUCUUGCCCCUUGAACAAAUUCCUUUAGAAAUAAAUAGCGUAGACGCUAAUCAAUACUUGAAUUAUUUCUCCUGAGAAAAGAAUGCAUGCAUCCCAUAGGAUAACACCUACAUCUUAAUCUCGGCUUUUAGGAUUUCUCUUUAAAUCCUAACUCGGCUUUACUGCUCUGCAGUACUUAAUCAUUCUCUUUACUUCUUUUGGAGAAAUUCUAUUUUCUCUUAAUAAAUAUGGAUUUCUUAAAAUCCCUCCUUAAUUUCGUUCUUCUUCGGAUUUUUCUUAAGGCCGCCCAUGGCGUCGCGGGGCGACGCCGGUCGGCCCUCGCUUCUCCGUCUUAAAAUUUUCCAUCUUCGGGAACUCAAUAAUUUAUUCGGGAAUUAAUUAAGCUUCAAGCUCAAUUUCUUAAAUUAAUUCCACUCCACAAUUAGUUCCCCAAGUCCACUAGUUUAAUUAAGUAGCCAUUCAAAUAAAAUCUCUUGGCACAUAAUUUAAUUGAGGACAACCCAUUCUUCCUAAUUUAUUUUCGGCCCAUUCUUCUCUCAAAAGGCCCAUUUUCGAAAUUAAUUAAAGUGGCCCAAGCCACUUUCCUUCCCUUUUCCUUUCUUCAGUACGUGAUUAUCUCUCUCUCCCAUUCUAAUUCUUUUAAUUUCUCUCUUCUUCCACAAUGCACAGCAUACUCCUCUCCCUCACGCCCCUUUUCCUUUUUCUCGAGCUCUCCGGCGAAUUCACGCCCGGAAUGGCUCCGAUCUUCCUCAAAUCGAGCUUUUUCUCUCCCUCCUUUAAUACGUCCUCCUCAAUUUUACACAUUUUAAUUCUCCAACAAAAAGAAAUCCCCAGAUUGCACAGUACCACAGCGUCCCCUACCCCCUUCAUCGGCGAAUUUGCGCCUCCUCCAUGUCGCUGCUCCGGAGUCGGCCUCUGUCUCUUCUCCCCGAAUUCUAUUCCUCAAAAUUUAAAUCUUAGGGAUUCCCCCAAAUUUUCCCUAAACAGAGAAAUUACCGCAGCGGCAUUUUCUUCCGUCACCUCGCCAUUGCCGACCGGCCCCUCACUGCCGGUUCUCUUCCCUUACGGCGAGGUUACCGAUUUGGGGGAGGCGUCGCCUCUUCUGCCUCGUUCUGGCGAAGCGCCGCCCCGACGGGCGCCGGGUUCCGUUGAUUCCCCCCCGUGCUCUCCGUUGCCCCGUCGACCAAGCUAAGUCCCACUCCCCUUCCCCUUUUAUUUAUUGUUAUUUGAUUGAGAGUUCCAUUUGCUCUUUGGUUUAAAGCUGUGACUUUUGGUGGGGGAAUUGUUUCCUGGAGCUGAUCCUUGGCUACUAUUGUUAUGAUUUUACAUAUGCCUACUGUUCCAUUCUCAUACUAGUUGUGGGGAUCUUAUGAGGAGUUCUAUGUUCUUGUGCUAUCCGAUCAUUCUAUAUGAUGCAAGGAGGGUGUUGUCGAGGGUUUACCUUGCUUGGUGAUCCCUCUCGGUUCUCGACUGCCCUUCCUACUGCCGCUGCUCCGCACCGCUGCUCCUUACUCCGCUGCACUCUCCUGCCUUGAGAAACUGGCAGAAUAUGAGUGUGGAGUGGGGAAGGAGAUGGUGGUAUUUAUAGGCAAAAGCCUUGGCUUCUUGUGGCAGGGAUUUGGGGCAUUGAACUCCUAAUUUUGGCUACAAUCUCCAGCCACCUUUUGAGUUACAUGUUUAAGGGAAUCCUACCCCUUUGGUGAAAUCCUUGGGGCUGCCCUUUGACCAAUUUUUUUUGCAGCCUACACGGCUGACCUAUGUUGUGACGCCCCGGGUUUUAAUCCUCCUAAUUUGAUUAAUCCAAAUUUAUUAGCUCGAUUAAUUCUCGUUUAGAGGGCGUAGAAUUUUUCGUUGUAAUUCCCGACGUCGGAAUAAAUUAAAUACUUUGGGGAGAGAAACAAGUUGCAAGAGUAUUGGUGCAAAAUAGGAAAGUAAAUGGUAUACUUUUGUUGAAAGAACAAUUUGUGGGAUACAAAUUCAUGAAAUUUUAAAGACAUUAGUAGUACAUACUAUACAAGUGAUGGAGACUGUACACAUCUACAUUACAUCAUCCAUUCUUCCACCUCUAGUAAUAGAAUUCUAGAGAGUGUCCUAAAAUGGUAUAGAAACCAAAGUGGUGCAAGGAAAGAUUCUCUUCCAUUUCCCCAUCUACUUCCUUCUUGAUUUGUGCUCCAUGUAGCUCCAAGAAGAGGCAGCCCCUGUACCUAAAAAAUUUCACAAAAAAGGGGGUUAGGAAUUGGAACACAGAUAAAGGGGAGAAAGGCAAGCUUCAUUAAGAGAUAGAGCACAGUAAGGAGCUACAUAGGUCAGCCGUGUAGGCUGCAAAAAUGGUCAAAAGGGCAGCCCCAAGGAUUUCACCAAAUGGGUAGGAUUCCCUUAAACAUAUAACUCAAAAGGAGAAGGAGCUUAGAGCUAAAAUGGGAGCUCCAAUGCCCAAGGUUCUGCCACAAGAGGCCAAGGCUCUUUGCCUAUAAAUACCACCGCCUCCCUCCCCACUCCACACUCUUGUUUUUCUGCCAAAAUUCCCGCAAGGCAGGGAAGCACAACGGAGUAAGGAGCGGCGGUGCGGAGCAACGGCAAUAGAAGGGCAGCCAAGGAACCGAAAGAGUUCAGCGAGGUACAAGGCUAUCCAAGGUUGGGAAUCUUGUGGGAAUGAUGGUGGAACCAAGACCGAGGAAGAUGGAGAAGGAAGAAAAAAGAUUUGUUGAUCACCAUUUGUCUUAUCUUCUCAUCCAUUCUAGUUUAGGGUAGAUAGGAAGAUGCACUUCCAUUUUCAUGUAAAACUUGAAGUUAGAGCUCAAGAAUGGUGUAGUAUUUUUCUUCAUUUAGCAAUUGGAUGUAAAGUAAGUUGUAUGUACUCACUUUUUUCUCAAUAAAAGUAUCCAAAUUACUUUUGUGCUUGAAA